rnacentral:rRNA from 14 species
UUGAGUAAGAUUUGAAAAAGAAGUUUGAAAUGAAAGUUAAAGAUUCAAAGAAAUCUUCCAAUUCUAAAAGUGUAUCAAGGUUCAUGAUAACGGUUGACUUUUUGCUUUCUCUGCAACUUCAGUUUUCAUUUUGGU